UACGUAGGGUGCGAGCGUUAAUCGGAAUUACUGGGCGUAAAGGGUGCGCAGGCGGUUUUGUAAGCCAGAUGUGAAAUCCCCGGGCUUAACCUGGGAACUGCAUCUGUGACUGCAUCGCUGGAGUGCGGCAGAGGGGGGAUGGAAUUCCGCGUGUAGCAGUGAAAUGCGUAGAUAUGCGGAGGAACACCGAUGGCGAAGGCAAUCCCCCUGGGCCUGCACUGACGCUCAUGCACGAAAGCGUGGGGAGCAAACAGG
rnacentral:rRNA from 1 species